rnacentral:misc_RNA from 1 species
CAACCCUCAAGCUCAGCUUGGUGUUGGGACUCGCGGUAACCCGCGUUCCCCAAAUCGAUUGGCGGUCACGUCGAGCUUCCAUAGCGUAGUAAUCAUACACCUCGUUACUGGUAAUCGUCGCGACCAUGCCGUAAAACACCCCACUUCUGAA